rnacentral:lncRNA from 1 species
UCGCCCCUUCCUUGGCAGCACAUCAUGCUUGUGCAGCGGCAGAUGUCUGUGAUAGAAGAGGACCUGGAAGAAUUCCAGCUCGCUCUGAAACACUACGUGGAGAGUGCUUCCUCCCAAAGUGGAUGCUUGCGUAUUUCUAUACAGAAGCUUUCAAAUGAAUCUCGCUACAUGAUCUAUGAGUUCUGGGAGAAUAGUAGUGUAUGGAAUAGCCACCUUCAGACAAAUUAUAGCAAGACAUUCCAAAGAAGUAAUGUGGAUUUCUUGGAAACUCCAGAACUCACAUCUACAAUGCUAGUUCCUG